UACGUAGGUGGCAAGCGUUGUUCGGAAUUAUUGGGCGUAAAGGGCGCGUAGGCGGCUUGUUAAGUCGGCUGUGAAAGCCCGAGGCUCAACCCCGGAGGGUCAGCCGAUACUGGCAGGCUAGAGUACGGAAGAGGUAGCUGGAAUUCCCGGUGUAGCGGUGAAAUGCGUAGAUAUGGGGAGGAACACCGGUGGCGAAGGCGGCCACCUGGACGGUAACUGACGCUGAGACGCGAAAGCGUGGGGAGCAAACAGG
rnacentral:rRNA from 1 species